rnacentral:ncRNA from 1 species
CAAAGGCAUGGUCCCGACCUUAAUAUCAACUUUAACUCAACUUACACAUGCAAGCCUCCGCAACCCCGUGAGUAAGCCCUCAGUCCCCCGCCCGAGGAUAAGGAGCAGGCAUCAGGCACAAAACUUGGCCCAAUACGCCUAGCAAAGCCACACCCACAAGGGAAUUCAGCAGUGAUAAACAUUGAGCUAUAAGCGAAAGCUUGACUCAGUCAGAGUUAGCAAGGGCCGGUAAAACUCGUGCCAGCCACCGCGGUUAGACGAGAGACCCUAGUUGAUAAACCUACGGCGUAAAGGGUGGUUAAGAGUAGAUAAUAAUAGAGUUGAAUAACCCCUUGGCAGUCAUACGCUCUUAGGGUUCCGAAACCCGAUCAAACGAAAGUAACUCUAAUACAUCUGACCCCACGAAAGCUAAGAAACAAACUGGGAUUAGAUACCCCACUAUGCUUGGCUAUAAACCCAAAUGUUUAAACACACAAAUAUCCGCCAGGGCACUACGAGCACCCAGCUUAAAACCCAAAGGACCUGACGGUGUCUCAGACCCCCCUAGAGGAGCCUGUUCUAGAACCGAUAAUCCCCGUUAAACCUCACCAUUUCUGGUCUUCCCAGCCUAUAUACCGCCGUCGCCAGCUUACCCUGUGAAGGAUAAAAAGUAAGCAAAAUGAGUAAAACUCAAAACGUCAGGUCGAGGUGUAGCGCAUGAAAUGGAAAGAAAUGGGCUACAUUUUCUGCAUCAGAAUAUUACGAAUAAGACACAUGAAAUAAUGCUUAAAGGAGGAUUUAGCAGUAAAAGAGAAACAGAGUGUCUCUUUGAACUCGGCUCUGAGACGCGUACACACCGCCCGUCACUCUCCCCUGUCACACGCGAUAAAAGUAUUUAACACUACAGCACAGACAAGAGGAGGCAAGUCGUAACAUGGUAAGUGUACCGGAAGGUGCACUUGGAGUAUAAAC